rnacentral:misc_RNA from 1 species
GUACAUUAGUGCUUGCGCACGACAGUAGUUUUCAUUACAUUCGAGUUAAUGUGUAAAAUCCUCUGUCAGCCGAAGCCAACAAGAGGCCAAAGGUUCACAAGGGUAAUGGAUGAAAGUCACCAACGUGCACUUGCCGGAGCCAGCACUGAAGGCAACGAUUCACAAUCAAUAAUGAUCCUUCCGCAGGUUCACCUACGGAAA